GGGGAUGUGGCUCAGUGGUAGAGUGUUUGCCUGAAAUGCAUGAGGCCCUGGCUUCCAUCACUAGCCCCA
rnacentral:tRNA from 1 species